CAAUGGGCGCAAGCCUGAUCGGAGCAACACCGCGUGAGUGAAGAAGGGUUUCGGCUCGUAAAGCUCCAUUGUUAAAGAAGAAACACGUAUGAGAGUAACUGUUCAUACGUUGACGGUAUUUAACCAGAAAGUCACGGCUAACUACGUGCCAGCAGCCGCGGUAAUACGUAGGUGGCAAGCGUUAUCCGGAUUUAUUGGGCGUAAAGAGAGUGCAGGCGGUUUUCUAAGUCUGAUGUGAAAGCCUUCGGCUUAACCGGAGAAGUGCAUCGGAAACUGGAUAACUUGAGUGCAGAAGAGGGUAGUGGAACUCCAUGUGUAGCGGUGGAAUGCGUAGAUAUAUGGAAGAACACCAGUGGCGAAGGCGGCUACCUGGUCUGCAACUGACGCUGAGACUCGAAAGCAUGGGUAGCGAACAGGAUUAGAUACCCUGGUAG
rnacentral:rRNA from 1 species